GGUGCUUACACAUGCAAGUCGAGCGGCAGCGCGGGGGCAACCUGGCGGCGAGCGGCGAACGGGUGAGUAAUACAUCGGAACGUGUCCCGUAGUGGGGGAUAGCCCGGCGAAAGCCGGAUUAAUACCGCAUAUGCUCUACGGAGGAAAGUGGGGGACUCGCAAGGGCCUCACGCUAUGGGAGCGGCGAUGUCCGAUUAGCUUGUUGGCGGGGUAAUGGCCCACCAAGGCGACGAUCGGUAGCUGGUCUGAGAGGAUGAUCAGCCACACUGGGACUGAGGCACGGCCCAGACUCCUACGGGAGGCAGCAGUGGGGAAUUUCGGACAAUGGGGGAAACCCUGAUCCAGCCAUGCCGCGUGCGGGAAGAAGGCCUUCGGGUUGUAAACCGUUUUGGUCGGAAAGAAAAGGCGCCACCUAAUACGGGGCGUUCUUGACGGUACCGGAGAAUAAGCACCGGUAACUACGUGCCAGCAAGCCGCGGUAAUACGUAGGGUGCGGAGCGUUAAUCGGGAAUUUACUGGGCGUAAGCGUGCGCAGGCGGUUCUCCAAGUCCGUUGUGAAAGCCCCGGGCUCAACUGGGAAUGGCAGUGGAAACUAGGGGACUAGAAUCUGGCAAGAGGGGGGUGGAAUUCCACGUGUAGCAGUGAAAUUGGUAGAGAUGUGGAGGA
rnacentral:rRNA from 1 species